rnacentral:rRNA from 1 species
CUGCGUGAGCAGGGCUGCGUGUCAAGUCUAUGGACUCGACUCUUGCACAUCUACGUCUUAGGUUUGCGCCAAUUCGUGGUAAGCUUGGGUCAUAGAGACUCAUAGGUGUUAUAAAGACUCGCUGGUGUUUGUCUCCUUGAGGCAUACGGCUUUAACCAAAACUCUCAAAGUUUGACCUCAAAUCAGGUAGGAGUACCCGCUGAACUUAAGCAUAUCAAUAAGCCGGAGGAAAAGAAACCAACCGGGAUUGCCUUAGUAACGGCGAGUGAAGCGGCAAAAGCUCAAAUUUGAAAUCUGGCGUCUUCGACGUCCGAGUUGUAAUUUGAAGAAGGCGACUUUGUAGCUGGUCCUUGUCUAUGUUCCUUGGAACAGGACGUCAUAGAGGGUGAGAAUCCCGUGUGGCGAGGAUCCCAGUUAUUUGUAAAGUGCUUUCGACGAGUCGAGUUGUUUGGGAAUGCAGCUCUAAGUGGGUGGUAAAUUCCAUCUAAAGCUAAAUAUUGGCGAGAGACCGAUAGCGAACAAGUACAGUGAUGGAAAGAUGAAAAGAACUUUGAAAAGAGAGUGAAAAAGUACGUGAAAUUGUUGAAAGGGAAGGGCAUUUGAUCAGACAUGGCGUUUGCUUCGGCUUUCGCUGGGCCAGCAUCAGUUUUAGCGGUUGGAUAAAUCCUCGGGAAUGUGGCUCUGCUUCGGUAGAGUGUUAUAGCCCGUGGGAAUACAGCCAGCUGGGACUGAGGAUUGCGACUUUUGUCAAGGAUGCUGGCGUAAUGGUUAAAUGCCGCCCGUCUUGAAACACGGACCAAGGAGUCUAACGUCUAUGCGAGUGUUUGGGUGUAAAACCCGUACGCGUAAUGAAAGUGAACGUAGGUGAGGGCCCGCAAGGGUGCAUCAUCGACCGAUCCUGAUGUCUUCGGAUGGA